UUCCGGCAUGGUGUCGCCGUAGAAUCCCUCCAUCCCUGUCCCCACCAAGUGCUUGUUGUCCACUGAUUUCGCGUAGCUUGCCAUUUCCGCAAUCCAUCCCUGCAAGUGCAUGCAUUGUUCCCAGAGAGAUCAGAAGCGCAACGAGGCUCGUUUAUGAGUUCCCAUGCCAUGAUGGUUGGAUCAUCCUUAUAAGCAAUCCCACUAUUUGUAUUCAUUCUUGUUAGCACUGUCUGCAACAACAAACCAUGCAUGCAUGUAUAUUAUUUAUUUAUUUAAUUAGAAAAUAAUUAAUAUUAUUCAAUCAAAAGGGAAAAAAAAUCCCAUUUUUAACUA